UGAUCGCAAUAAAUUAAUAAA
rnacentral:piRNA from 1 species